AUUUGCCAAUGGCAGGCAGUACGCACAAGCACAGGGCACUAUCAUAAUGGGAAUGGCAACUACAGAAACACGUAUUGCAGACGAGUGAGGAGUACAGAUCCACAGAGCUGACUAUAUUUUGGUGCACGUCAGUCCCACAAUGCAUCACACAAAGAAGCUGACUGUGGGCUUCCAUCACACCGAUCGGAUAAGAGUGAAUUUACUUUGCAUAUAAUGAAUUUUUGGUAUGAAAAGGGUCAUUGUAUAAGAGCGAAUUCGCACAUACAGAAUCCUCAUAAAGCAAGGGAAGCCUGUAAUAUCAAGAAGAAUUUAGUUAAGCUGACUUCCUG